rnacentral:lncRNA from 1 species
AAUAACAUAGGUGUAGCGUAAUAAAAGAAAACCAGACAAGGUUAAGAGAAUCUUAAAUCACAACUGACACUGACUAUUAAGCUAAUCAUCUUCUAAAAAUAUAAAGAAGGAAAUACUUUUCAGAUAUAAGAGUUUUGGGAAAGGACACUCCAAAACAUUCAGUGAUCAGGCUUUCCCACAUGUUCAAUCUAGAGAAGAAACAGAGGUUAAUCAGAUUGCCCACGAGGUUCCUUUGUGAAAAUAUCAUAACCAAGUUAAUAAGUGGAAAUAAAAUAUAUAGCACUUUAUUGGGCCCUUGGACAAUAAUGUAGCAUUUAAAAAACAUAUAUAAUUUCUCCAGGAAGUUUAAAAUAGAGGAGGCAAGCCAGAUUCAGACUCACAGGAAUACUCGGUGACUUUAAAACACACUGAUUGAAAGAAUGUACAUUGAGAGGAGGGGUAUUAAGACAGCACGCUGGCUGGAUUCCACCAAUCUCUCUUAACUCUAAAUCUUCCCAUUCUUUUCUUUUUCUUUUUUUUUUGGAUAAACUUUUUUUUUAACUUAAAGUUUUUGGGUACAUGUGCACAACAUGCAGGUUUGUUACAUAGGUAUACACGUACCAUGGUGGUUUGCUGUACCCAUCAACCCGUCAUCUACAUUAGGUAUUUCUCCUAAUGGUAUCCCUCCCCUAUCCCUCCAUCCCCCCUUCCCAUUCUUUUCUAAUACACUAUAUUUCUUCAGUGUUGUCAUUGUCACUUUCCCAAACUAAAAUUAGGACUAGAUGGAAAUGUGGACAUCUCAAAUUAUUAAUCAGGUGUUCCUUCAAAUUAAUAUUAAAAGUAUUUGUUCACCACUGAUUUAGAGAAGUUGGGCAAGGUAUAAAUAAUGAAAAAACAGAGAUGGGAGCAUUACACUGCACUCAGCAAAUGAAAAUGAAAGGCCUUACACUCAACUAGAUCCAUCCUUAGAAUACAAUCUGGUCAUCAUCUUUUGUCACUUGAACUUGACCCUGAAGGAGGGGGUCUCUGUACCCUAAGUGGCUGUGCACAGCAUUCCUUCCAAAGACAUGGAAUAUGCUGCCUGAAAGAAGAUCUGAAAAAUACAAUUGUUUCUUUCCAAAUUUCCAGUAAUGUUUUAAAGGUCAUUAUAGACCACACCAAAAGUUAUCUCACUCCUUCUUUUGGUUUUGCUUAUGACAGUUCCCUACUGUAAAUACCAUCAAAUCUAAUUUGGAUGGCAUUAACUGGCCCUGUUAUCUACCAUUUGGUCACAGAAGUCUUCAGUGUUGAUUGUUGAGCGAGAGUAUAGGAGACACUGAGUUAGAUUUUUUCCCUCAGUAUCUUUACACUAUUCAAAUCCCUCAUUACCUAUUUUCUCAGCUGUCGAAUGCAGGUAACUUCUGCUCUGCUACUUCACUUAGGAUGGAAGAAGAGGAAGAAAUACAUCACCUAUUCACUCAACAAACACUGAGAAAAUACUAGGGAAGCCACUUAUACUUCUAGGGAUAUAAGGAUAAAUACUAGAGGGUUCUUGUCCACAAAGAUCUCAACAUUUCACACUUAGGAUACCAAAAAAAGCAGCCUAUGAUAGAAGAGAGGCCACUGAAUUUUGAGUCAGAACGAGGCAAAUAUUCUGACUUGAUCACUUACACAUAAUUAGUCUCUCCUUCAUCAUUGGAAAUACAGGAUUUUUGUGAAACAUAAUGUGUAUAAAGGCCCUAACAAUGUGCUAGCCACAUAAAAAACAGUCAAUAGAUGGUAUUUAUUAUUUUUGCUAUGGAUGAGUGUUAAAAUAAUAGAUAUGUAAAAUGUAAAAUGCUACAGUGCUUAAUAGGGAAUAGUACUGGGGGAGGAGGGAGAGGAAUGAAAUGAUUCUUCAAUUGGACCUGAAUGUAAGAGUUUUGCCAGGCAAAUAAAUGCAGAAAAGCGCAUCCCAGCAAGCACAGUGUAACAAAGCACAAAGGGAAAGAAAUUAAAGUGUUUCUAAAUGAACAAAAUUGUUACAGUGUUUGCUUGUGGGUAUUAGUAUCUGUUCAGCAGUUAUUAUGUGGCAAGUACAAAUUUAUCUUUACAAAAACCCCUGUGAGGUAGAUAUCGUACUCCCCAUUUGACAGAUCAGAAAACAGGGGUUUAGCAAGGAUAAACAACCUGCACGGUAAUACAUGGAUGCUAUGGGGUAGAGCCAAGGGAACAAUCCAAGUGUGUCCGACUCCAAAGGUUAUGCUCUUGGAAAAUCAAACUGGAGAGAAUGGCAGACUCUUAUAAAGCAUGCCAAGGAUGUGGUCAUUUAUUUAGGAAACAAAGGGGAAACAUUAAAGGUGUACAGGCUUGACACAUUCAAAGCUGUGUCUGCUCCUCGGUGCAUUGCUGCUCGGGCGCCGCAGCCCGCAGCCGCCAGCCUCCCCCGGCCGUGCCCCUCCCCCGUGGAGCCGGCUGUCGGUCGGCGCCCACUGCUUGAUCAAGAACAAGGCAUUAGAAUAACCUUUGUAGUUCUAUUUGAUGUAAAAGGGAGUUUGUGUUCCUGAAAUACACACAUGGACAGGGAGUAAAGAUGUACUAUUUGGAAGUCUACUUGGAGGCACAGAGUGACUUUUCUUAGACAAUAUGUUUCUUAUUAUUUGGCUUUGGGAUGUAUUUCUUGAUCAAGAACAAGGCAUUAGAAUAACCUUUAUAGUUCUAUUUGAUGUAAAAGG